UACGUAGGGUGCAAGCGUUAUCCGGAAUUAUUGGGCGUAAAGAGCUCGUAGGCGGUUUGUCGCGUCUGCUGUGAAAACUGGAGGCUCAACCUCCAGCCUGCAGUGGGUACGGGCAGACUAGAGUGCGGUAGGGGAGAUUGGAAUUCCUGGUGUAGCGGUGGAAUGCGCAGAUAUCUGGAGGAAUACCGGUGGCGAAGGCGGCAUCCUGGACCGGCAUUGACGCUGAGUGAGCGAAAGCUAGGGGAGCAAACGGG
rnacentral:rRNA from 1 species